rnacentral:rRNA from 1 species
UCCUGCUAAAGGAAUCUUUUGCUUGUCCUAAAAGCACAGGUGAAUAAGGGGUGGGCAAGUCUGGUGUCAGCCGCCGCGGUAAUACCAGCACCUCGAGUGGUCAGGACGUUUAUUGGGCCUAAAGCAUCCGUAGCCGGCUCUGCAAGUCUCCGGUUAAAUCCACCUGCUCAACAGAUGGGCCGCUGGAGAUACUACAGAGCUAGGGAGUGGGAGAGGUAGACGGUAUUCAGUGGGUAGGGGUAAAAUCCUCUGAUCCUCUGAGGACCACCAGUGGCGAAGGCGGUCUACCAGAACACGUUCGACGGUGAGGGAUGAAAGCUGGGGGAGCAAACCGGAUUAGAUACCCCCGUAGUCC